rnacentral:tRNA from 1 species
AGGGGUGUGGCUUAGUGGUAAAACACUCGACUAGCAUCCAUGAGGUCCUGGGUUCUGCCCCAGCACCACUA